CUACGGAGGGUGCAAGCGUUAUCCGGAAUCAUUGGGUUUAAAGGGUCCGUAGGCGGACUAUUAAGUCAGAGGUGAAAUCCCACAGCUCAACUGUGGAACUGCCUUUGAUACUGGUAGUCUUGAGUUAUAUGGGAGUAGAUAGAAUGUGUAGUGUAGCGGUGAAAUGCAUAGAUAUUACACAGAAUACCGAUUGCGAAGGCAGUCUACUACGUAUAUACUGACGCUAAGGGACGAAAGCGUGGGGAGCGAACAGGAUUAGAUACCCUAGUAGUCC
rnacentral:rRNA from 1 species